AGUGAACGCUGGCGGUAGGCCUAACACAUGCAAGUCGAACGGCAGCACAGUAAGAGCUUGCUCUUACGGGUGGCGAGUGGCGGACGGGUGUGGAAUACAUCGGAAUCUACUUUUUCGUGGGGGAUAACGUAGGGAAACUUACGCUAAUACCGCAUACGACCUACGGGUGAAAGCAGGGGAUCUUCGGACCUUGCGCGAUUGAAUGAGCCGAUGUCGGAUUAGCUAGUUGGCGGGGUAAAGGCCCACCAAGGCGACGAUCCGUAGCAGGUCUGAGAGGAUGAUCAGCCACACUGGAACUGAGACACGGUCCAGACUCCUACGGGAGGCAGCAGUGGGGAAUAUUGGACAAUGGGCGCAAGCCUGAUCCAGCCAUACCGCGUGGGUGAAGAAGGCCUUCGGGUUGUAAAGCCCUUUUGUUGGGAAAGAAAAGCAGCAGGUUAAUACCCCGCUGUUCUGACGGUACCCAAAGAAUAAGCACCGGCUAACUUCGUG
rnacentral:rRNA from 1 species